rnacentral:tmRNA from 1 species
GCUCUUACUUCGUCAACGAUUAGCCCCUAUAUUCAUUCCUGCCGGGGCAACCCGGCUAUGGCGAUAAACGGACGUCGUAAUAAACCUUUCGGACCCGGGGGCAGUACCCGGCGCCUCCACCCAAACCCGCCUUAAAAACGGGUUUCGGCGGGGGCGAACUAGGAUCGACGAGGGCGUAAAGGACGAACUUUUGCUCGGCAUGGUUCCGCCGUUAUCGGGCCAAAUCGUAGUUGCAAACGACAACUAUGCUCCGGUUGCUCAGGCCGCGUAAGCGGUUUGAAAAACCAAGACUAGAAGUCCUGGCGGGUUAAGCUCCGUCAGGCGGGGUUCGGAGGCACCUGGCAACAGAAGCCUCCACU